rnacentral:rRNA from 1 species
CAGUCGCCACGGUAAAACGUAGGUGGCAAGCGUUGUCCGGAAUUAUUGGGCGUAAAGGGCUCGCAGGCGGUUUCUUAAGUCUGAUGUGAAAGCCCCCGGCUCAACCGGGGAGGGUCGUUGGAAACUGGGAAACUUGAGUGCAGAAGAGGAGAGUGGAAUUCCACGUGUAGCGGUGAAAUGCGUAGAGAUGUGGAGGAACACCAGUGGCGAAGGCGACUCUCUGGUCUGUAACUGACGCUGAGGAGCGAAAGCGUGGGGAGCGAACAGGAUUAGAUACCCGCGUAGUCCCUGUCUCUUAUAC